GAUAAGGUAGUUUAAGUUGAAAAUGUCUGCUUUACACGCAGGGGAUGGCUGGAGGGCCUAUUAUCA
rnacentral:tRNA from 1 species